UCAUUAGGAAGAAUUAACACUUAAAGAUAGACUUUUUCUCUCAUUUCAUCCGCCGCCACCAACACCAUACCCUAACUCUUCCCACACCGACGAACACAAACGGCGACACCACGACCCCAUCACACUCCCACACGCCGACGACGAAAUCCGUGACGCGGUGGAUGAAACGGCGACACGGUGUAUAAGGAGGCGGUGUGGGCGACUUCGAUUUCGUCAAACCCUACGGUAAGUCGGAAGAAACUACCUCACUCGCCGGAAUCGGUCGAGAAAGGUUAAUCUAGCUUCAACUUCUACCACUACUGUUUGAAUUGUUUAUGGAGAAACAGAGUAGUAACCUUGCAACUCAAUUGAUUGAAGGUUUGUGUAGUUUUCUGCGCAAAUGUAUUUGUGCAAUUCUUUCUGCUGGUUCUCUUCCAAGGCAUGUGGCAUUUAUCAUGGAUGGAAAUCGAAGAUAUGCCAAGAAGGAAGGCUUACUUGAAGGACAUGGGCAUAGGGUUGGAUUCACAGCUCUUAUGAAUAUGUUGAAGUAUUGCUAUGAGAUGAAUGUCAAGUAUGUUACUGUGUAUGCUUUCAGCAUUGAAAACUUCAAACGACGUCCAGAAGAAGUCCAAUCCACUAUGCAGUUGAUACAGGAAAAGAUUGAAUCAUUGCUUGAGAAAGAGAGUAUUGUCAACCAGUAUGGAGUGAGAGUGCACUUCAUUGGAAACCUUAAACUUUUGAGCAAACCCGUCAGGCUCGCUGCUGAAAGAGCUAUGAAUGCCACUGCACAUAAUUCGACGGCCACGCUUGCAAUAUGCAUUGCCUACACAUCAACAGAUGAAAUAACAAAUUCUGUCGAAGAAGCAUGUAAAGUAAAAAUGGAUGAACUAGGAGGGAAUGAAACUGACAGCAAGGAGCCUCAUAUUGAUGUGGCAGAUGUCGAGAAACAUAUGUAUAUGGCAGUUGCACCUGAUCCAGAUAUUAUAAUCCGCUCGUCCGGUGAGACUCGACUAAGCAAUUUCCUCCUGUGGCAGAGUGCAUCUUCCCUUCUUUACUCCCCAAGGGCGCUUUGGCCAGAGAUUGGGUUUUACCAUUUGGUCCGAGCAAUCUUGGACUUCCAAAGGAAUGUCACUUCUUUGGAAACUAAGCUGAAACAGAGUUAGAUUCGCCAGUUUCUGCACUUUCAACUGCUAAUCCACUGACGUUUCCCCAUGAUGAUGAAAGAAGUUAAAUUGAAUGCUAUCUUGUAUAUAUCUUGACUGAGUUGACGGGAAUCUCAUCCAUGGUUUUUACUCGACCAUGUGACGCAACUACACUCUUGGCAUAUAAUCUUCGUAAUCUUGGUUUCAAGGCUAUUCCAAUUAAUGGCCACAUGA